ensembl:misc_RNA
AUAACACCUCUUUUUGAGGAAUUGCUCUGCGAUAGAAACAUAUGCUAAGGUCCACUUUCCAUUUCUGGAUAUUAUAAAGCACAUUUUGACCUCUAAGAAACCAUUCUUGAAAUUCACAUCAG